rnacentral:rRNA from 1 species
CCCUUAGAUGUUCUGGGCUGCACGCGUGUUACAAUCGGGAGUACAACAAGAUUGCAAAUCCUAGUGGAUGAGUGGUUCUUCGAAAUUUUCUGAAGACUGGGAUAGUUGAUUGAAAUUAUUCAACUCAACGAGGAAUUCCUUGUAAUUGUAAUUCAUUAUAUUGUAAUGAAUACGUCCCUGCCCUUUGUACACACCGCCCGUCGCUCCUACCGAUUGAACGAUCCGGUGAAUUAUUUGGAGUAGCUCUGGAAGUUGCAGAACUUCCUAUGUCACGAAAUUUUGUAAACCUUAUCGUUUAGAGGAAGGAAAAGUCGUAACA